rnacentral:lncRNA from 12 species
AAGCUGGCAGUCUCCACUGCACUGUGUCCAUCUGGACUACACCUGCUCCACGCAUGCCCCCCUCUGGGGAACACCCCCAACCCAGGCUCAGCUGGGCCACCCGCACAUUCCCCAUCCUCGAUUUUCCCAAGUCUGGUGGCAGGGACGUGGAAGGAGCCUUGCUCCCCAGGGAAUUCCCCCUCUCUACUGUCUAGCAUGUGACAGAACCACCCUGGGGGACCGCGUGGACUGGCCCAGGCGGCAGAGGAGGCCAGCACCGGCCGCGUCCACAGCUGGCAUAAAGGAACGCUAGGGCAUGAGCAGGUUACUCUGUGCUGUGAGGCCACCACAGGAAGAAGGCUCCAGAACAGCUCCCCCUCCUGAGAUCCAUUCUGCGUUCUUCCUCCCUUCCCCUCCAAAUCCCCGAGGGACCUGCAGCAGCUCAUGGUGAUUCUAGCGCUCCAGCUUGGGGGACAGACAAACAUCAGGUCCUCGGAUGGGUGGUGUGGAUUAUGAUUUCCAGGUCCAGCUGCUGACUCCCUGCUGCCCACAGGACAGAGUGCAGAGCCCUUUGCAGGACCUGUUGUACCCCUCAAUAGGGCCUCACCUGCCCUGCUGGGGGCAUGUCCCACGUCCUCCUCGGAAGCUCUCACCAGUAGACCAGCCCAGCAUCUCCAGGUGUGGGCCCCUCCCCAGACCCUAGAAUCCGCCACUCUCUCUUCCCAGGACGCCCUCCCAACCUGCAUCUGCCCUCUGUUCUGUAUCGUAUCCACCAUCCACCGUGGUGCUCCCGCAGGUGCUAAUGAACACUCCUUGUCCCCGCCUGAGGGAGGAGGAGGGUUCUGGCCGCCUGUCUGCAUUUUGCCAGUGGACCGCAGAACUGCCCACUGGCGCAGCAGGACCAGCCCAGGCCUGCCUGUGGGAGCCGGGGAGCAGUAGCAUGGGGCUAGAGGUGCCAGGCCUUCCUCCAGGGACAAGACGCAAGGGCAGUUCCUCAGACGCCCUGGGCACUGGCCGGCAUGGGGGGCAAAUUACAGCCAGCCUGCAGCACAGCUCACCUGAUGCAAGUGGGUCUUACGUGUAAGACGUAGUAAGAAACAGACAUGCGAAUACA